rnacentral:misc_RNA from 1 species
GAUGAAGAACGUAGCGAAAUGCGAUAAGUAGUGUGAAUUGCAGAAUUCAGUGAAUCAUCGAAUCUUUGAACGCACAUUGCGCCCCUUGGUAUUCCAUGGGGCAUGCCUGUUCGAGCGUCAUUUGUACCUUCAAGCUUUGCUUGGUGUUGGGUGUUUGUCUCGCCUCUGCGUGUAGACUCGCCUUAAAACAAUUGGCAGCCGGCGUAUUGAUUUCGGAGCGCAGUACAUCUCGCGCUUUGCACUCAUAACGACGACGUCCAAAAGUACAUUUUUACACUCUUGACCUCGGAUCAGGUAGGGAUACCCGCUGAACUUAAGCAUACAAUAAGCGGAGGA